rnacentral:rRNA from 1 species
UACAGAGGUCCCAAGCGUUGUUCGGAUUCAUUGGGCGUAAAGGGUGCGUAGGCGGCGCGGUAAGUCGGGUUGUGAAAUCUCGGAGCUUAACUCCGAAACUGCAUUCGAUACUGCCGUGCUUGAGGACUGGAGAGGAGACUGGAAUUUACGGUGUAGCGGUGAAAUGCGUAGAUAUCGUAAGGAAGACCAGUGGCGAAGGCGGGUCUCUGGACAGUUCCUGACGCUGAGGCACGAAGGCCAGGGGAGCAAACGGG